ensembl:lncRNA
CCCACCCCAUAGCAUCACCCCCACCCCCCAUCCGUGUCCAUCCACCCCAUCUCCGCGGCGUCCGUCUGUCCGUCCGUCCAUCCCAAUGGUGUCCGUCUGUCCGUCCAUUGCAGUGCCGUCCGUCCAUCCAUCCCAAUGGUGUCCGUCUGUCUGUCCGUCCAUUGCAGUGCUGUCCAUCUGUCCAUCCAUCCCAAUGAUGUCCGUCUGUCUGUCCACCCCAAUGACGUCCAUCCAUCCCAACGGUGUCCGUCUGUCCAUCCAUCCCAAUGGUGUCCGUCUGUCCAUCCAUUGCAGUGCUGUCCGUCCCAUUUGGGUGUCCGUCUGUCCAUCCAUCCAUCCCAAUGGUGUCCGUCUGUCCGUCCAUCACAGUGCUGUCCGUCCAUCUCAAUGGUGUCCGUCCGUCCGUCCAUCCCAAUGACAUCCAUCCAUCCCAAUGGUGUCCGUCUGUCCGUCCAUCACAGUGCUGUCCGUCCAUCUCAAUGGUGUCCGUCUGUCCGUCCAUCCCAAUGACAUCCAUCCAUCCCAAUGAUGUCCGUCUGUCCGUCCGUCCCAAUGGUGUCCGUCCGUCCGUCCAUCCAUCACAGUGCCGUCCAUCCGUCCCAUUGCGGUGUCCGUCUGUCCGUCUGUCCAUCCCAAUGGUGUCCGUCUGUCCGUCCAUCACAGUGCUGUCCGUCCAUCCCAAUGGUGUCCGUCUGUCCAUCCAUCCCAAUGACAUCCAUCCAUCCCAAUGGUGUCCGUCUGUCCGUCCAUUGCAGUGCUGUCCGUCCAUCCAUCCCAUUGCGGUGUCCAUCUGUCCGUCCAUCCCAAUGGUGUCCGUCCGUCCGUCCAUCCAUCACAGUGCCGUCCAUCCGUCCCAUUGCGGUGUCCGUCUGUCCGUCCAUCCAUCCCAAUGGUGUCCGUCUGUCCGUCCAUCACAGUGCUGUCCGUCCAUCCCAAUGGUGUCCGUCUGUCCAUCCAUCCCAAUGACAUCCAUCCAUCCCAAUGGUGUCCGUCUGUCCGUCCGUCCAUUGCAGUGCUGUCCGUCCAUCCAUCCCAAUGGUGUCCGUCUGUCCGUCCAUCCAUUGCAGUGCUGUCCAUCCAUCCAUCCCAUUGCGGUGUCCGUCUGUCCGUCCGUCCCAAUGAUGUCCGUCCAUCCAAAUGGUGUCCGUCCAUCCAUCCCAAUGGUGUCCGUCUGUCUGUCCAUCACAGUGCUGUCUGUCCAUCCCAAUGGUGUCCGUCUGUCCGUCCGUCCAUUGCAGUGCUGUCCGUCCAUCCAUCCCAAUGGUGUCCGUCCGUCCGUCCAUCCCAAUGACGUCCAUCCAUCCCAAUGAUGUCCGUCUGUCCGUCCAUUGCAGUGCUGUCCCUCCAUCCAUCCCAUUGCGGUGUCCAUCUGUCCGUCCAUCCCAAUGGUGUCCUGCUGUCCGUCCGUCCAUCCCAAUGACGUCCAUUCAUCCCAAUGGUGUCCGUCCGUCCGUCCAUCACAGUGCUUGCUGUCCGUCCGUCCCAAUGGUGUCCGUCCGUCCGUCCAUCCCAAUGACGUCCAUCCAUCCCAAUGAUGUCCGUCUGUCCGUCCAUUGCAGUGCUGUCCGUCCAUCCAUCCCAUUGCGGUGUCCAUCUGUCCGUCCAUCCCAAUGGUGUCCGUCCGUCCGUCCAUCCAUCACAGUGCCGUCCAUCCGUCCCAUUGCGGUGUCCGUCUGUCCGUCCAUCCAUCCCAAUGGUGUCCGUCUGUCCGUCCAUCACAGUGCUGUCCGUCCAUCCCAAUGGUGUCCGUCUGUCCGUCCAUCCCAAUGACAUCCAUCCAUCCCAAUGGUGUCCGUCUGUCCGUCCGUCCAUUGCAGUGCUGUCCGUCCAUCCAUCCCAAUGAUGUCCGUCUGUCCGUCUGUCCCAAUGGUGUCCAUCCGUCCGUCCAUCCCAAUGACGUCCAUUCAUCCCAAUGAUGUCCGUCUGUCCGUCCAUCACAGUGCUGUCUGUCCAUCCCAAUGCUGUCCGUCUGUCCGUCCAUCCAUUGCAGUGCUGUCCGUCCAUCCAUCCCAAUGCUGUCCGUCUGUCCGUCCAUCCCAAUGACGUCCAUCCAUCCCAAUGGUGUCCGUCUGUCCGUCCGUCCAUUGCAGUGCUGUCCAUCCAUCCAUCCCAAUGGUGUCCGUCCGUCCGUCCAUCCCAAUGACGUCCAUUCAUCCCAAUGGUGUCCGUCUGUCCGUCCAUCACAGUGCCGUCCGUCCAUCCAUCCCAAUGGUGUCCGUCUGUCCGUCCAUCACAGUGCCGUCCGUCCAUCCAUCCCAAUGGUGUCCGUCUGUCCAUCCAUCCCAAUGACGUCCGUCCAUCUCAAUGGUGUCCGUCUGUCCGUCCAUUGCAGUGCUGUCCGUCCAUCCAUCCAAAUGGUGUCCGUCCGUCCGUCUGUCCAUCACAGUGCCGUCCAUCCAUCCAUCCCAUUGCGGUGUCCGUCUGUCCGUCCAUUGCAGUGCUGUCCGUCCAUCCCAAUGGUGUCCGUCCGUCCGUCCAUCCCAAUGACGUCCAUUCAUCCCAAUGAUGUCCGUCUGUCCGUCCAUUGCAGUGCUGUCCGUCCAUCCCAAUGGUGUCCGUCCGUCCGUCCAUCCCAAUGACGUCCAUUCAUCCCAAUGAUGUCUGUCCGUCCAUCCAUUGCAGUGCCGUCCAUCCAUCCAUCCCAAUGGUGUCCGUCUGUCUGUCCGUCACAGUGCUGUCCGUCCAUCCCAAUGCUGUCCGUCUGCCCAUCCAUCCCAGUGAUGUCCGUCCGUCCGUCCAUUGCAGUGCUGUCCGUCCGUCCAUCCCAAUGGUGUCCGUCUGUCCGUCCGUCCAUCCCAUCCCAUCCCCCCACCUCUCCAAUGCUGGAAGAGGCGAUGCGGAGGAGGAAGAAGAGGGUUUGGGGGGGGGGGGGGGGG